GAGAGAGGCUUAGGUCACUGGGGACAUGCCUUUGAAAGGGACUUAGGGACAUCUGGGUCUUCCUCUUUUUGCUUUAUGGCUCAUUGGCUUAGCAGUAUGCUCUGUGAUGUGCUCUCUACUACUGCUAACUGGUGUUGCACCAGAGGCCCAAAACUUUAGGGCCACCCAAUAUUGGACUGGGACUUCUAGAGCCAUGAUCUAAGCAAACUUUAUCUAUUUAUCAUGUAAGUGCCUCAAGUAUUUCAUCAUAGUAAUGGAAAGCUGACCAGUAAAAGUAGUGUUCCAAUGUAAAGGGAUUGAACUUGGGACCUUGUGCUUGUGAGGUUCCUGAGCUCACGAGAACAGGCAAUCAUGGAUCCAUACUGCUUCUAUGAACACACUUACAGCGACGGGAUGGGUGG